rnacentral:tRNA from 2 species
GUGCCCAUAGCUCAGCAGGAUAGAGCGUCGGUUUCCUAAACCGCAGGCCGGAGGUUCGAAUCCUCUUGGGCACA